AGUAUGUGGUUUAAUUCGAUGCAACGCGAAAACCUUACCUCGCCCUUGACAUCCUCGGAACUUGUCAGAGAUGACUUGGUGCCUUCGGGAACCGAGAGACAGGUGCUGCAUGGCUGUCGUCAGCUCGUGUCGUGAGAUGUUGGGUUAAGUCCCGUAACGAGCGCAACCCUUGUCCAUAGUUGCUACAUUUGGUUGGGCACUCUAAUGAGACUGCCGGUGACAAGCCGGAGGAAGGUGGGGAUGACGUCAAGUCCUCAUGGCCCUUAUAGGUGGGGCUACACACGUCAUACAAUGGCUGGUACAAAGGGUUGCCAACCCGCGAGGGGGAGCUAAUCCCACAAAGCCAGUCGUAGUCCGGAUCGUAGUCUGCAACUCGACUACGUGAAGUCGGAAUCGCUAGUAAUCGUGGAUCAGAAUGUCACGGUGAAUACGUUCCCGGGUCUU
rnacentral:rRNA from 1 species